rnacentral:rRNA from 1 species
GCCGAUGUCAGAUUAGCUAGUUGGUGGGGUAAAGGCCUACCAAGGCGACGAUCUGUAGCGGGUCUGAGAGGAUGAUCCGCCACACUGGGACUGAGACACGGCCCAGACUCCUACGGGAGGCAGCAGUGGGGAAUUUUGGACAAUGGGCGCAAGCCUGAUCCAGCCAUGCCGCGUGCGGGACGAAGGCCUUCGGGUUGUAAACCGCUUUCAGCCGGAAAGAAAUCGCCAAGGCUAAUAUCCUUGGUGGAUGACGGUACCGGAAGAAGAAGCACCGGCUAACUACGUGCCAGCAGCCGCGGUAAUACGUAGGGUGCGAGCGUUAAUCGGAAUUACUGGGCGUAAAGGGUGCGCAGGCGGUUUUGCAAGCCAGACGUGAAAUCCCCGGGCUUAACCUGGGAACUGGGUUUGAAACUACAAAGCUAAC